rnacentral:rRNA from 1 species
AGGCCAUUGCUAUCGGAGUCCGAUUUAGCCAUGCUAGUCGCACGAGUUCAUACUCGUGGCAGAUAGCUCAGUAACACGUGGCCAACCUACCCUGUAGACCAGUAUAACCUCGGGAAACUGAGGCUAAUGCUGGAUACGACUCUCAGACUGGAGUGUCGAGAGCCAGAAAUGCGUUAGCGCUACAGGAUGCGGCUGCGGCCGAUUAGGUAGACGGUGGGGUAACGGCCCACCGUGCCGAUAAUCGGUACGGGUUGUGAGAGCAAGAGCCCGGAGACGGAAUCUGAGACAAGAUUCCGGGCCCUACGGGGCGCAGCAGGCGCGAAAACUUUACACUGCACGACAGUGCGAUAAGGGGACUCCGAGUGCGAGGGCAUAUAGUCCUCGCUUUUCUGAACCGUAAGGUGGUUCAGGAA